AGGAUUAACGCUGGCGGCGUGCCUAACACAUGCAAGUCGAACGAGGUAGCAAUACCUAGUGGCAGACGGGUGAGUAACGCGUGGUCAACCUACCGUUGAGUGGGGGAUAACUAGCCGAAAGGUUAGCUAAUACCGCAUACGAGUCUCGGGGGCAUCCCUGAGCCUUAAAAGGAGCAAUCCGCUCGAUGACGGGACCGCGUCCCAUUAGCUAGAUGGUGGGGUAACGGCCUACCAUGGCACCGAUGGGUAGCUGGUUUGAGAGAGCGACCAGCCACACUGGGACUGAGAAAACGGCCCAGACUCCUACGGGAGGCAGCAGUGAGGAAUUUUCCGCAAUGGGCGAAAGCCUGACGGAGCGACGCCGCGUGUGGGAAGAAGGCCUUCGGGUCGUAAACCACUGUCGAAGGGACGAUAAUGACGGUACCCUUGGAGGAAGCCCGGCUAACUACGUGCCAGCAGCCGC
rnacentral:rRNA from 1 species